CUGCCUGCCUCCUGCAGUACGGGAGGCUGCGAGCCGCCGCGCCGGGCCGGGCCCCGGCAGGUGGGCGAGCCGUGCCGAACCGGGGCUGCUGCGGGGUCUUCAACAUGGCUGGCACUGACACAGCUACCUUCCUGCAUGCGGCUCAGUGCGACGUCACUUGAUGGUGUUGAAGAUGGACUGCAGAGGAGAAGGACAGAACACGAGCCCAGGGGCAGGGAGCCUGGCCAGGGGCCCCUCAGGUGCUGUGCAGCAGCUGGUGUUGUGAAUCAGGCCGUCACCAGUCGGAGAACGGCUACUUCACAACACCAGGGUCGCACCGCACCACGCUUCGACCGCCAGCUGGACAGGAGCAGCGUCUCCUGCGGGCAGGCAAGGGAUGUGGAGCACCUUCUGGCUGCUUCCAUGCAAGCCCAGACCUGCAAAGGUAAUCAGGUGCUCAACUCCUAUUUAGGCACCAGCCUCCCACUGAAGUCUGAAAUAGAAGUUAGGCCCCUAAAUAUCUCUGUGGGUCUGGCCCCGAAACCCUGCGUCGCAGUGCAGUGCAGAGCUUCAGCAGGCACAGGGCAGCACUGGCAGCAGUGUGGUCACUGCCCCUUCACAUGCCUCAAAAAACAGGUAGCUUUUAUUAAGCUGUGGAAAACAGAAAAAAAAAAACAAACCCUCUGCAUGCUCCAUGUGUGGUUCUCUCUCACAGUAGCAUCUGUGGUCCUUGCCUGUGACUUGUUCUGAUCCCUCCCUAUCUCUAUACCCAACCGCACAGUCUCUGUAAAAGGUCCUGUACCUACCAGGAAAAAGUUGGGCUCCUUGCUGUUGAUACAAAACCUGGUCAGCCUCUGCCAGCAUGCCUCUAUCUAAACCAGCCCUACGUGUGUUGUGAUGAAAGAAAAAAUAAACAGAAGUGGUACAAACAACUUCAGUCCUUAAAAUCAAGAAAAGGUUGCUAAAGCAAUGCCUCAUAAAUUCCUAGGUGUGGAGGGACAGUAGGCACACUCAAACCAAGUGACCCUUUAACAUGUGCCAAACAUUUCAGAUUUUAAAAACAGGCCCUUCUCUGCCUCCUCCUUUUUGCCUCCUCCUCACAUCCACCAGUGUGAUGUUAGUUUGAGAGGAUUGGGUUACAGAGCAGUGCUUUCCAUCCAAAUCUGGGUCAUGUACAUGGAGGUUGGCACACACCUGAUGGUCAGGGUAUACAAUCCCUUAAGUCAAACUGAAACACUGUUCAGUUUUGAUAUCAGAAAACAAGCACUUGGUCUCAGGAUGAGGUUUUCUUUGGUGGGUUUUCCCUUCCUCCCACCCCUUAGGAUUGCUCUGUGCUGUCAGGUGUGUCUGGCUGUUCCCUUGUAUGAUAUAAAAGACUAGAUAUGUCUAAAGCAAAGAGUGGAGAAGUGUAGAGAGAAACUAUUCAGGUAACAUAGAACCAAUGAAGGUUUUUUUGAAAGCUUUCUUCAUUAUCCUAACUCGUCUGAGUGAAGAUGGCAGUAAAAAUUAUUUAAAUUCCAUGCUGGAUGUAUUAUUGCUGGCAGGGAGAUAGGCAUAGGGGACAGUCAGGAUCUGAAAUAGUAUGGGACAGCCUGAAAAUGCAUAUUAAAGGUGACAAUGGUGGUUUCACUGGGCCUAUCCUAAUCUUUAUGUUCAGGUAGACUCCUUGCACAGGUAGCCCUGAAUUCCUUUUAUAGCAAAAAGUCAAAUACUUUGAACAAUGUAAGAGGUGUAUGGGAGGCUUAUUUGUACAUUAGGAGAGCAAUCUGUGGAUGGAUGAAGGCUAGCACUGGGUUUUUGUCGUUGAUGAGAGGAAAAACUAGAUCAUGCUUCUUGUUCAUGCACUAUGAAUUUGUAAAUUCAACAUGUAAGAACAUUGUUUUAUUAAACCUGUUCUCUGCUAACACAAACUGUGUGUUCUGUGUGGUAAUCUCAUUGUUUAUUAUAAUCUUGUUUUAAGGCUUGAAACUUUACAGAGUUUGUUUCAUUAGGCAAUGCACAAAAUUCUUUAGAAACAGGAGGCAUCAAUGAAAUAGUUCAACAACCCUUGCAUGCACGCACACCUAUUUACAUGAGCAGCUAUUCAUACAUGGACUUAAGCACCAUUUCAUCUUUUAUUGUGAGCCAGAAACCUGUUUGACCUAUUCAGUUUGUCAGUAAAUACACAUAACAUUUGAAAUAGGCUAAUGCUUAAUAUCCGCUGCCAGGUGACCUGAUAAACUAUCUUCAUACUUUUCCAAGUAUGGUAUGUAGAGACAGGUCAUUUUCAGCUCCUUUUGUUAAAGAAUUUCAUGGGAACAGCCCACUUCAAAGGUACCUUUGGGGCAUUUAUUGUACUACAACUCUAACUUGAAUACAUCACCUUUUAUGCUCUUCUAAAGUGUUUUCCUAGCAAAUUAAUGCAGGCCAUAAUGCAGCUCUGCUACUGAAAAUCAAGCACUCUUGGUAUCAUCAAGCAGCAUAAUCAUGUCAUCUCACAAGGAGGAUUGCUGGUUGAAAAGCUGGCUGUCAGCUUCAGGUGAUGAAACCAAUUUCUAUUUGCUCCCUUCAGCAGUUAGCACAUGCUGCAGUGAAAGGUGAAUGCACAAAAUAAAUAGUUCAGUAUAGGUUUUAUAUUUGUAGAGUGUAAUUCUUUAUCAGCACCUACAGUUCAUCUUCAUGGCAACCCCAGUCCUGGCUGCUCACCAGGUUUCUGGACAGCCCCUCAAAAGAGAGGCCCCUGCAGUGCAGGUACACUCAGAAAGUUUUCUGAUGCUUUACAGAUCCUUUGUCCUGCUUGUGUAUUAUCAUAAAAUACCAAAAAUACCUCAUCAGAAUUGUUGAAAGGCCUGAUUUUAUAACCUUAAUAAAACACUGUGCUCAGCAAUGAGGGU
rnacentral:lncRNA from 1 species